rnacentral:rRNA from 1 species
CUGGCUCAGAACGAACGCUGGCGGCGUGCUUAACACAUGCAAGUCGAACGCGAAAGGGACUUCGGUCCUGAGUAAAGUGGCGGCACGGGUGAGUAACGCGUAGAUAACCUGUCUUCAUGUCUGGAAUAAUACGCCGAAAGGGGUACUAAUACCGGAUAUUCUUGCUUUUCAUAAGUUAUGCAAGCAAAGGUGGCCUCUGCAUAUGCUACUGCAUGAAGAGGGGUCUGCGUACCAUUAGCUAGUAGGUGGGGUAAUGGCCUACCUAGGCGACGAUGGUUAGCGGGUCUGAGAGGGUGAUCCGCCACACUGGCACUGGAACACGGGCCAGACUCCUACGGGAGGCAGCAGUGAGGAAUAUUGCGCAAUGGGGGAAACCCUGACGCAGCGACGCCGCGUGAGUGAGGAAGGCCUUCGGGUCGUAAAGCUCUGUCAAGAGGAAAGAAGUGUACAAUGGCUAAUACCUGUUGUAUUUGACGGUACCUCUAAAGGAAGCACCGGCUAACUCCGUGCCAGCAGCGGC